UACGAAGGGGGCUAGCGUUGCUCGGAAUCACUGGGCGUAAAGCGCACGUAGGCGGCUUCUUAAGUCAGGGGUGAAAUCCUGGAGCUCAACUCCAGAACUGCCUUUGAUACUGAGAAGCUUGAGUCCGGGAGAGGUGAGUGGAACUGCGAGUGUAGAGGUGAAAUUCGUAGAUAUUCGCAAGAACACCAGUGGCGAAGUCGGCUCACUGGCCCGGUACUGACGCUGAGGUGCGAAAGCGUGGGGAGCAAACAGG
rnacentral:rRNA from 1 species